rnacentral:rRNA from 1 species
CCUACGGGUGGCUGCAGUGGGGAAUAUUGGACAAUGGGGGGAACCCUGAUCCAGCCAUGCCGCGUGUGUGAAGAAGGCCCUCGGGUUGUAAAGCACUUUCAGUGAGGAAGAACGCCUGGUGGUUAAUACCCAUCAGGAAAGACAUCACUCACAGAAGAAGCACCGGCUAACUCCGUGCCAGCAGCCGCGGUAAUACGGAGGGUGCGAGCGUUAAUCGGAAUUACUGGGCGUAAAGCGCGCGUAGGUGGCUUGAUAAGCCGGUUGUGAAAGCCCCGGGCUCAACCUGGGAACGGCAUCCGGAACUGUCAAGCUAGAGUGCAGGAGAGGAAGGUAGAAUUCCCGGCGUAGCGGUGAAAUGCGUAGAGAUCGGGAGGAAUACCAGUGGCGAAGGCGGCCUUCUGGACUGACACUGACACUGAGGUGCGAAAGCGUGGGUAGCAAACAGGAUUAGAUACCCUUGUAGUC